rnacentral:rRNA from 1 species
AACGAACGCUGGCGGCAGGCCUAACACAUGCAAGUCGAGCGAGCAUUUCGGUGCUAGCGGCGGACGGGUGAGUAACGCGUGGGAACGUGCCCUUUUCUGCGGAAUAGUCCUGGGAAACUGGGGGUAAUACCGCAUACGCCCUUUUGGGGAAAGAUUUAUCGGAGAAGGAUCGGCCCGCGUUGGAUUAGGUAGUUGGUGGGGUAAUGGCCCACUAAGCCGACGAUCCAUAGCUGGUUUGAGAGGAUGAUCAGCCACACUGGGACUGAGACACGGCCCAGACUCCUACGGGAGGCAGCAGUGGGGAAUCUUAGACAAUGGGGGCAACCCUGAUCGAGCCAUGCCGCGUGAGUGAUGAAGGCCUUAGGGUUGUAAAGCUCUUUCAGCUGGGAAGAUAAUGACGGUACCAGCAGAAGAAGCCCCGGCUAACUCCGUG